rnacentral:rRNA from 1 species
AGAGUGAACGCUGGCGGCGUGCUUAACACAUGCAAGUCGAACGAGAACGGAUUUAAGCUUGCUUAAAUUGUCAGCUAAGUGGCGCACGGGUGAGUAAUAUAUAGUUAACCUGCCCUAGAGAGGGGGAUAACGUUUGGAAACGAACGCUAAUACCCUAUAUGCCUUUAAUACAUAAGUAUGCAAGGGAAAUAUUUAUAGCUCUAGGAUGGGACUGUACGGUAUCAGUUAGUUGGUGAGGUAAUGGCUCACCAAGACUAUGACACCUAACUGGUUUGAGAGGAUGAUCAGUCACACUGGAACUGAGACACGGUCCAGACUCCUACGGGAGGCAGCAGUGGGGAAUAUUGCGCAAUGGACGAAAGUCUGAUGCAGCAACGCCGCGUGGAGGAUGACACAUUUCGGUGCGUAAACUCCUUUUAUAUAGGAAGAUAAUGACGGUACUAUAUGAAUAAGCACCGGCUAACUCCGUGCCAGCAGCCGCUGUAAUACGGAGGGUGCAAGCGUUACUCGGAAUCACUGGGCGUAAAGAGCGUGUAGGCGGGUUAAUAAGUUGGAAGUGAAAUCCUAUGGCUCAACCAUAGAACUGCUUUCAAAACUGUUAACCUAGAGUAUGGGAGAGGUAGAUGGAAUUUCUGGUGUAGGGGUAAAAUCCGUAGAGAUCAGAAGGAAUACCGAUUGCGAAGGCGAUCUACUGGAACAUAACUGACGCUGAGACGCGAAAGCGUGGGGAGCAAACAGGAUUAGAUACCCUGGUAGUCCACGCCCUAAACGAUGCACACUAGUUGUUGCUAUGCUAGACAUAGCAGUAAUGCAGUUAACACAUUAAGUGUGCCGCCUGGGGAGUACGGUCGCAAGAUUA